rnacentral:rRNA from 1 species
AUUGAACGCUAGCGGGAUGCCUUACACAUGCAAGUCGAACGGAGCGGCGGACGGGUGAGUAAUAUAUCGGAACGUGCCCGGUAGAGGGGGACAACUACUCGAAAGAGUGGCUAAUACCGCCUAACACUGGAUCUGCCGAGAUCGGAUUAGCUAGUUGGUGGGGUAAAGGCUAACCCAGGUAACGAUCCGUAGCUGGUUUGAGAGGACGACCAUCCACACUGGGACUGAGACCCGGCCCAGACUCCUACGGGAGGCAGCAGUGGGGAAUUUUGGCCAAUGGGGGAAACCCUGAUCCAGCAAUCCCGCGUGUAUGAUGAAGGCCUUCGGGUUGUAAAGUACUUUUGGCAGAGAAGCGGUAUCUGCAGAAUAAGCACCGGCUAACUACGUGCCAGCAGCCGCGGUAAUAC